CAGUCCAGUUGAGAACUUGUGAUUGGAUUUGACCAAGGCUGUUCAGUCAUGAAACCUAUGCAACCUGGAAGGGCUUGAGCAGUUUUAGAAAGAAGAAUGAGGGAAAAACUGAGGUGUCCAGAUGUGAAAAGCUGAUAGAGAGAGAUUGGCUGCCAAAGGUGCAUCUAAUAAACACUAACUUGAAGUGUACCUGAGUUGGAGGAGUAGCACCAGCUCAGCAGAUACCAGAUGGACGAAUAAACUGAUAAGGGAGACCAGCAGCUUUACUGGAUUCACCUGGACUCAUGCAAAAUAAUAGCAGACCUGAAUGCUGUUCUGUUUUGACAGAAUUACAGUUGAAAGAAGCGGAAGGAUAAAGAAAACAAGACCCAAAGAAGAAAAAGAACAAUCUCAUUCACUUAACUCCAGAAUUUCCGGGAUCUCAAAAAGGCCAUUCAACCUCAUUUCCAUUUCCUGCUCCAGAAGACAACGUCACUUUCCGGACCCACACUGAUGAAGGCACUCCUGUCUCCGUCAUGAUGACGUCACUUCCGUCCUACAGUUUUGACGUCAUUUCCUGCCACAUCACGUCCUGUCGCCAUUUUGUAUAAAUAUCUCCAUUUCAGAGCUGUAUUUUGUUAAAUGCUUUGUUUUUUUGAUCCAAUUCUCCAUUACUUUUCAUCAGGUCCACUAGACAUUAUGACUGUUAUGUAGAAAGACCUUAACAAAGGCUACUUUUGGUCUUCAUAACACUUAAAACACAUCAGCAGAUCGGUUAUUCAUUUCUGUGCAGUGCAUCAUAUUGACUUGUUAAUAUGAAGGAUUCACAGGUCUUAUAGUAAAGUAUGCAAUAUCAAGACACAUGUGUGUCACUGAAGUCAUUUCCGACCACUCCAAAGUGAAAUUAUUUUAGUAGGCCACAUUGCACAGAUGAAUAAACAUUUUACUGAUGCUUUGUAAGUGUCAUUUGCAUCAAAAGAAGCAUUUAGUAAGGUCUUGCUAGAUAAGAGUACAAGAGUAAUAAAUGCAAUUUUUACAG